CUGACAGCCCUGGAGACUGAUGUCCCCUGGUUAUACUCAGAAAAGGCAGAGCACUGGCACUACUGUAAAUCUCUCUGCCUGUAGCCCUUUAUCACCUCUGAUCUGCAGAGACCACCUCCAGACAGAACAACACUCUGGUCUCUAUGGCCAUUCACUGGCUGGCAUUG
rnacentral:sRNA from 1 species